rnacentral:misc_RNA from 1 species
AGUCUAUUUGUUAAAUAGACUUCCUACAAAGGCAGUAGAUCAAUUCACUCCAGUUGAAGCUUGGUCCGGAAAGAAACCAACAGCAAAACAUUUGAAAGUGUUUGGAUCUAUUUGCUAUAUUCAUGUUCCAGCAGUUAAAAGAACCAAACUAGAUCAAAAGGCAGAAAGAGGAAUUUUCUUAGGCUACUCCACUGCAUCUAAGGGUUACAGGGUUUAUAAUCUUGUUUCCAACAAAGUUCAGAUUAGUAGGGAUGUUGUGGUUGAUGAAACAUCUCACUGGAAUU